CCUACGGGAGGCAGCAGUGGGGAAUUUUGGACAAUGGGCGAAAGCCUGAUCCAGCCAUUCCGCGUGCAGGAUGAAGGCCUCGGGUUGUAAACUGCUUUUGUACAGAACGAAAAAGCUCCGGCUAAUACCUGGAGUCCAUGACGGUACUGUAAGAAUAAGCACCGGCUAACUACGUGC
rnacentral:rRNA from 1 species